AUGGCGGGCAUGGGGAAGCAGCCGGUGGUGGCGGCGCUGAUGCUGGCGCUGGUGGUGCUGGCGGCGGCGCCGGGCGGGGCGCACGCGGCGUGCCAGGCAUCGCAGCUGGCGGUGUGCGCGUCGGCGAUCCUGAGCGGGGCCAAGCCGAGCGGUGAGUGCUGCGGCAACCUGAGGGCGCAGCAGGGGUGCUUCUGCCAGUACGCCAAGGACCCCACCUACGGGCAGUACAUCCGCAGCCCCCACGCGCGCGACACCCUCCAGUCCUGCGGCCUCGCCGUCCCCCACUGCUAG
rnacentral:rRNA from 1 species